rnacentral:rRNA from 1 species
UACGAAGGGGGCUAGCGUUGUUCGGAAUUACUGGGCGUAAAGCGCGCGCAGGCGGCUAUCCAAGUCAGUGGUGAAAGCCCGGAGCUCAACUCCGGAACUGCCAUUGAAACUGUUUAGCUUGAGGAUGAGAGAGGUGAGUGGAAUUCCCAGUGUAGAGGUGAAAUUCGUAGAUAUUGGGAAGAACACCGGUGGCGAAGGCGGCUUUCUGGACGACAACUGACGCUGAGACGCGAAAGCGUGGGGAGCAAACAGG